UACGAAGGGGGCUAGCGUUGCUCGGAAUCACUGGGCGUAAAGGGCGCGUAGGCGGCCGAUUAAGUCGGGGGUGAAAGCCUGUGGCUCAACCACAGAAUUGCCUUCGAUACUGGUUGGCUUGAGACCGGAAGAGGACAGCGGAACUGCGAGUGUAGAGGUGAAAUUCGUAGAUAUUCGCAAGAACACCAGUGGCGAAGGCGGCUGUCUGGUCCGGUACUGACGCUGAGGUGCGAAAGCGUGGGGAGCAAACAGG
rnacentral:rRNA from 1 species